rnacentral:siRNA from 1 species
AGAUGUCUAUGUUAUCUUGAACCA